GUGUGUGUCAGAAGAGGCUGGUAGGAGGAGCUAUUGGAGGACGGGCUCACUGUGUGUGUCAGAUGAGGCUGGUAGGAGGAGCUAUUGGAGGACGGGCUCAUUGUUAUGGCUGGAAUGGAGUAAAUGGAGCGAUAUACGACACGUCAAACAUAUGGAAACCACAUGAUUGACUCCGUUCCAUUUACGUUCCUAUAGCUCCUCCCACCAGCCUCCACGUGUGUGUGUGUUUGUGUGUGUCAAUCGCCUAACCACAGACUGUCGCUGCAGCGCAGCACCAGGCGCCCCGCAGUAACCCUAUCGUCUAAGCGCAGCCUGGACGUGCCAAAAUAUGGCCUUUCUCCCUCCUCCUUCAACUGAAUGUACUCCUGCAUAUGAAGAAUGUUUCGGUCUAUUCGUCACAAUACGAAGCAAUUCUGAGGGCGCUGUGCCCUAUGCGUCAUGUUCCAGUCACCGGUAAUGGCACGUGGCCCGCUUGGCAUUCCAGCACUGAGAAGAAGGGGAUAAAGUAACUGGGGAGUAAAUUGCUACUACUUUGAACAAUAUCCUUCACAUCCAAGUGUUUUGUAAAUGGAAAAAAAUCCUGAACACUAUUUACAAUUUUCAUUUUUUUUUUGGACCUUGUUUUCACUCUGUUCUUCUCGCACACUUCGGUGGCUCUGAGAAAGGUUCUCGGUUAACCCGAAGCUGCUAAUGUGUGUGCGAACAAAGGCAACGAUCAGCGCGCUCUGACAGGAAAGGGAAUUCAUUUUGAUUGACGUCAGAGGCGUAGGUCCUCCUUUCUCCGGAGAGAGAGAGCGCGCGAGAGAAAGAGUAAGUGUGUGUGUGCGUGUUUGCACGGACUUACACUAUAAGAGACAAGUCAAGGCCACACCACAAUGAGGCUGAAGUCACUGUACAACUUUACACUUCAAGGGUCUUUAUUGGCAUGGGGAUACACAGGUUAACAUUGCCAAAGCAAGUGAAAUAGAUAAUAAACAGAAGAGAAAUAAACAAUAAAAAUGAACAGUAAACAUUACACUCACAAAAGUUAAAAAAUAAUAGAUAGAUAAUGUCAGUCUCAGACUGAGACGAUGAAGGAGAGGUAAAGAGAGAGAGAGACUGAGACAAUGAAGGAGAGGUAAAGAGAGAGAGAGAGACUGAGACAAUGAAGGAGAGGUAAAGAGAGAGAGACUGAGACAAUGAAGGAGAGGUAAAGAGAGAGACAGACUGAGACAAUGAAGGAGAGGUAAAGAGAGAGAGAGACUGAGACAAUGAAGGUGAGAGGUAAAGAGAGAGACAGACUGAGACAAUGAAGGAGAGGUAAAGAGAGUGACAGACAGACGAUGAAGGAGAGGUAAAGAGAGAGAGAGACAGACUGAGACAAUGAAGGAGAGGUAAAGAGAGAGAGAGACUGAGACAAUGAAGGAGAGGUAAAGAGAGAGAGAGACAGACUGAGACAAUGAAGGAGAGGUAAAGAGAGUGACAGACAGACGAUGAAGGAGAGGUAAAGAGAGAGAGAGACAGACUGAGACAAUGAAGGAGAGGUAAAGAGAGAGAGAGACAGACUGAGACAAUGA